UUAUAUGACUUAUGUUGGUGAAAAUAAAAUUUUUCAACCAGGAAGAGGCGCGGUCAUUGCAUUUCGACCAUCCUGACGCCUGCCACUAUCCCAAACUGGGGCAGAUGGGGCAUGCAAUUUUCGGUAGUGCGGGCACUGCGUUCGCGCUGCCCCGUU